rnacentral:rRNA from 1 species
UAGUAGUGGGUGUAGCGUACCUACUAGCCUACGACGGGUACGGGUUGUGAGAGCAAGAGCCCGGAGAUGGAUUCUGAGACACGAAUCCAGGCCCUACGGGGUGCAGCAGGCGCGAAAACUUUACAAUGCCGGCAACGGCGAUAAGGGGACCUCGAGUGCCAGGUUACAAAUCUGGCUGUCGUGAUGCCUAAAAAGCAUUGCAUAGCAAGGGCCGGGCAAGACCGGUGCCAGCCGCCGCGGUAACACCGGCGGCUCGAGUGGUAACCGUUAUUAUUGGGUCUAAAGGGUCUGUAGCCGGCCGGAUAAGUCUCUUGAGAAAUCCAGCAGCUCAACUGUUGGGCUUUCAGGAGAUACUGUUCGGCUCGAGGCCGGGAGGGGUGAGAGGUACUUCAGGGGUAGGGGUGAAAUCUUGUAAUCCUUGAAGGACCACCAGUGGCGAAGGCGUCUCACCAGAACGGACCUGACGGCAAGGGACGAAAGCUAGGGGCACGAACCGGAUUAGAUACCCGGGUAGUCCUAGCCGUAAACGAUACUCGCUAGGUGUCGGCCACGGUGCGACCGUUGUCGGUGCCGUAGGGAAGCCGUGAAGCGAGC